AUGGCGACGCAGAGGGACACCCGGCACCCAUCUGUCCCUGUCAGGGCUCUUGUUCUCACAGCCCCCUGGAGCGUGCCCCGUGCCCCACCUUGGGCCUGGCUCCUGGCCCAGAUGGCAUCUGGCCUCUUGAGUCUGGUGGAGGACCCCAAAGCUGGUGGUCCCAUAGGCUGCCCUCCUGGGUCUCCACCUCAUGCCUGGACAGGACGCUGUGGCCUGUCCGGGCCUUGGCCGGCCCUGCAGCUGCACCCCCGAUCCUCAUCCUGCAACCCAUUCCUUGUUAGCAUCCUGAGACUCCUGGCGGGCAUCCUCUCUGCUCAAGAGUGUUGACCUGUCUCCCGGCCGCACCUGCUGUGCCCCCUCAGCCAAGCCAUCAUCAUCCCCCCUUCAUCACGUCAGGCCUCAUAGGAACCAGGCCUUCUCCAGAAGCUGCCCUGACCUCCCCCAAGCUGGACCACGUAGGCCCUGGAUCACACCUGGGGGUUCAGAUGUGGGGGUCCUGUGUGCACACCCAAUCAGACUGAGCACUCAUGAUACUACCCCAGCACCUCUCCCAGGGUUAAAUGAGGAAUGCGCCACUGGACACAUGAGGAAGAGGCUGUUCUGGGAGCCGCCAGUGCUGUGCCCUCACCUCUCUGACUUUGUACAGCAGGUUCCUGCACCUAGGAUGCCUGCCUGGAAAUGUCCUCACAUUCAAGGCCUCCUUUGCAGCCUCCUCCUCAGUGAAGCCUCCACACGUGCACAGGGCGUGUGCACAGCCUUGUGAAGGGCUGGGACCAUUUCCCCAGACUGGGGCCUCAGGAGCAGGCAUGGGGUCCUCCUGACCUGUCUCCCCAGCUCCUGUACAGAAAACAUCUAAAAUAAACACACAUGGAUGGAAAGCGUU